rnacentral:tRNA from 1 species
GUCUUCGUUGUGUAGUGGUCAGCACACUCGGUGCGUAUUCGAGAGGUCCGUGGUUCGAAUCCCGGGGAGGGCA